GAUGAACGCUGGCUACAGGCUUAACACAUGCAAGUCGAGGGGAAACGACGGGGAAGCUUGCUUCCCCGGGCGUCGACCGGCGCACGGGUGAGUAACGCGUAUCCAACCUGCCUCUGACUGAGGGAUAACCCGUCGAAAGUCGGCCUAAUACCUCAUGGCAUCGUCUGCGGGCAUCCAACGACGAUUAAAGAUUUCAUCGGUCAGAGAUGGGGAUGCGUCUGAUUAGCUUGUUGGCGGGGUAACGGCCCACCAAGGCGACGAUCAGUAGGGGUUCUGAGGGGAAGGUCCCCCACAUUGGAACUGAGACACGGUCCAAACUCCUACGGGAGGCAGCAGUGAGGAAUAUUGGUCAAUGGGCGAGAGCCUGAACCAGCCAAGUAGCGUGCAGGAUGACGGCCCUAUGGGUUGUAAACUGCUUUUAAGCGGGGAUAAAGUGAGGGACGUGUCCUUCAUUGCAGGUACCGCAUGAAUAAGGACCGGCUAAUUCCGUG
rnacentral:rRNA from 1 species